rnacentral:rRNA from 1 species
GACGAACGCUGGCGGCGUGCUUAACACAUGCAAGUCGAACGGGUCUGCCCUGUUUUUUGCGGGGUGGGUCAGUGGCGAACGGGUGAGUAACACGUGAGUAACCUGCCCCUCACUUCUGGAUAACCGCUUGAAAGGGUGGCUAAUACGGGGUGUUCUGGCUGUGCCGCAUGGUGUGGCUGGGAAAGAUUCACUUUUGUGGUGUUUUGGCGGGGGAUGGGCUCGCGGCCUAUCAGCUUGUUGGUGGGGUGAUGGCCUGCCAAGGCUUUGACGGGUAGCCGGCCUGAGAGGGUGGGCGGUCACACUGGGACUGAGAUACGGCCCAGACUCCUGCGGGAGGCAGCAGUGGGGGGUAUUGCACAAUGGGCGGAAGCCUGAUGCAGCGACGUCGCGUGAGGGAUGGAGGCCUUCGGGUUGUGAACCUCUUUCGCCGGUGAAGAAGGUCCUGCUCUUUGUGGUGGGGUUGACGGUAGCCGGGUUAUGAAGCGCCGGCUAACUACGUG